GUUUUCCACAGGCUUUCUUGAACGAUGGCGGUUCCUAUUGAUGUGCCGCUCACAGUACUUGUGCUCGGCCAUCGCCUCCUUUGAGCACCGCCAUUUCUUGCCGUCUGUUCGACGGCAUCUUCCAGGUUCCGGGUCAGAAUCUGCAUUGGUGAACCCUUGGUAGACAGGCCUCCAGGGCACUGCAUUACAGAGAAGCAAAUCAUGCUCUGCUUGCAUUUAUAGUUGUAUAACCAAAUAUCACGUGCAGGACAGACAGUACUUUCUCUCACAUUUCCAUCAAGAGAGAUCUUUUACCGCAUCACAUUUACAGGCAAGUUAUAUCUACAUACAACGUUGCCUGCAUUUCUACCUCAGUAAAAAAAAGAGAGAUGUGAGUACAUGUUUUUGGCAGGAUUCUUACUUCUAUCGGAGGAGGGUCUGAAGCUUUUGCUGAUGGAGAUGAGCAGGCUGGAAGGCGCCGAGUCAAGACAAAAGUGUAGAUAAAGCAGUAAAAAGAAGCAAUGAAAUGGAGCAGCCUUGGCCGAGGAGGAGGGGCCCAGUGGAUGGGUAGAUUCGAGCAAAUCCCCAUGGCCAUGAGUCGAGCUGGUGGCGCUGUCGAACGCCAGAGCACUGCCCAUCUAUCAUGGCUUGCAGAGAACAGAUCGAGCGAAGAUCAUGCGAAAAAUAAAGCGUGGAAGAGGGAGGAGCGGAUCCAAGAAAGACCUGACGAUGGAGGGGCGGCGGCCUUGGAGAAGCUGAGCAUCUUCUGCUCGUCGAGGAAGGGG